UUGCCAAAUUCGUAAAGAAAUUCGACAACUCUCAUAUACUCCGGGGAAGUGGCUAAUUUGCGCCCAAGAUACCAGUGGGGAGUAAACUUCAGUUUUUGACGGGCCCGUUGGACGAGGCAUUGCGGCCCGCCGCACGAGCAGAAAUGGCGGGAAAACGAAGCCGACGGAGGGAAAACAUUCCCGUUCCCCAUGGCCGGUCGAGUCCCUCGAAACCAGCGAGGUAGUGGCUGGCCUCGCUCGCCGUCGCCGAGAAUCCGAAAUCUCACCUCACCAGAAAGGAAAGGAAACCCUCCGCGGCGGGCGGCGAAGGCCUCCGAUGGCGGGGUGCGACGCCUCGGCCUCCGCUCCCUCCGUCGCGGGCCCCACCGGCGCCUCCGCCGCCCCCCGGUCUUGUGACUUUGCCUCGCCACCCUUGCCCCUUGGUCACCGCCUCGCAUUCCUGAAUUGAAGCAUGCACGUUUGGAACUCUCAGGGGGGCACCUCCGGCGAGAAGAAGCGCAAGGGCCCGGCGGCAGCCGCCGCGCCGAAGGAGGAGGUUCGGAAGCCUCCCAAGAUUACAGGACGAAUCAGGCUUACGUGUACUAGGAGGCGAUCCUCAAUACAGUGACUUGGCAGGUCGCGAUCACGUCAUCGGCGAGCUCUCGCGGCCACGGUCAAUGUCACUUGUGGAUCUGCAGUGCUGGGUUAUCAAGUUGUUUGGGCUGCAUCCAGAAACACAAGAUCUCAUAAUUAAGGUGUUCUUCAUAGAAGAUUGCCCCCUUGUCCCUGAUCUGUUGCAGAUUGAUCUGUAUCAGGACUGCCACUAUUUGAUGACUGAUGCUAAAUGGGCUUCUUAUGUCAAGAAAGUGAAGAGAAGAAAUGAUGGGAUGCCGGUGUUCGUACCGUAUUUGAAUUGCUCUGAAAUCAAGCACCACAAAAGAUUGUUCAAUGCGUGUUAUGAUGCUCACUCUCAAGUCUCAAGUGGCAACGGGCGCCAGCCCUCCACGCACUCUUACACAGGUAUUUCGUGAGGAAGAAUAUGCCCACCGCAUUUCUUACAACCUGUGGGAAAACCUGGCAAUGACAACUACAGAAAUUGUAGCAUACCUUGCUGAAAGAUAUGGUUACCAGAUCAGUCGUGCUGAUGCAUGGAGGGUAAAACAGAAGGCAUUGGAGUUGCAAUUUGGUACCUUUUAUGAUUCAUACAACCAUACACCAAGGUUACUCCAGAAAAUAAAAGGAUACAGAGGUAACAACCAUCAUUUUGAGGACAUCAUGGAAACAGAGGUGACAGUCUAUAAGGAUUUGAUGGCUGUGUAAUGGAAGGUUUGAUUCCAGGCAAGGACAUGCAGAUUCUCGAAAUGUGCUGAACCAACCAGUGUAAUGGAAGGUUUGAUGACUCUGGAACCUUUAGAAAUUGCAGUUGGUACAAAAAUUUAGUGUUCUGGACGACACCAACUUGGAUCCCUGACAAAAAAAAA